CCUUGCCAGACUGACUGGCUAGCAAGCUCCAGGAAAUCUGUCUUUCUUACUGUCAUCAAUGGCAAGGUUACUGGUAGGUGCAGCCACAUCUAGAUUCUGUGGAUGCUCAGGGAUCUGAACUCAGGGCCUCAGGCACGACAGCAGACAUUUUACCCACAGAACCAUCUUCAGCCCCAACUCUAUAUUUUAAGGCUCCCUGGAACUUCUGGAUUUCUUCCUUCAAUCCUGACCAGUUGACACAUCUUCUGGGAUGUGAUAGGUGGCCUUUGAUGCACUAAAUCAUGUUUCUACUCCUGCAUGUGGAAGAUGUGAUGUGCCCUGUCAAUCACAAGAAGGCCCGUUCAGACUGCCCGUGGGUGGCUUGUUUGCCCACUAGGUGGCGCGAUUGGAACCCAAGGAAGAGAAUGGAAGUAGGGGGGAUUGCCGUGCCUACAGUAAAACAGGAGGCUGAAAUUUUGCUCUCUCCGUUCUCAAUUUACCUUGGAAGGAGGAACUGUGGGAGAAGAAAAUGUCUACUGUCGAUUAAGCGUGAUUUCCCUGUAGGGACAGCACAGCGCUUAAGUGGCUGGGCCGGUUGGCCUGAGUGGCAAGCUAGUUCCAUUGUUCCUACUGAAUGAAAACAGAAACGAGCUGGGAAAGGACGCAGCCAUUUUCGGAGCGGUCAAAGACGUUUAUACAUUAGAAGAGGUUUUAAAUGUUGGAGAAGGGGGACAGGGGUCUCAAACUUUGCCUCUGAGUUCCUGAAAAUGA
rnacentral:lncRNA from 1 species